rnacentral:rRNA from 1 species
GACGAACGCUGGCGGCGUGCUUAACACAUGCAAGUCGAACGGAAAGGCCCUGCUUUUGUGGGGUGCUCGAGUGGCGAACGGGUGAGUAACACGUGAGUAACCUGCCCUUGACUUUGGGAUAACUUCAGGAAACUGGGGCUAAUACCGGAUAGGAGCUCCUGCUGCAUGGUGGGGGUUGGAAAGUUUCGGCGGUUGGGGAUGGACUCGCGGCUUAUCAGCUUGUUGGUGGGGUAGUGGCUUACCAAGGCUUUGACGGGUAGCCGGACUGCGAGGGUGACCGGGCACAUUGGGACUGAGAUACGGCCCAGACUGCUACGGGAGGCAGCAGUGGGGAAUAUUGCGCAAUGGGCGGAAGCCUGAUGCAGCAACGCCGCGUGCGGGAUGACGGCCUUCGGGUUGUAAACCGCUUUCGCCUGUGACGAAGCGUGAGUGACGGUAAUGGGUAAAGAAGCACCGGCUAACUACGUG